rnacentral:rRNA from 1 species
CGUACACUCCUGCGGGAGGCAGCAGUGGGGAAUAUUGCACAAUGGGCGCAAGCCUGAUGCAGCCAUGCCGCGUGUAUGAAGAAGGCCUUCGGGUUGUAAAGUACUUUCAGCGGGGAGGAAGGCGAUAAGGUUAAUAACCUUGUCGAUUGACGUUACCCGCAGAAGAAGCACCGGCUAACUCCGUGCCAGCAGCCGCGGUAAUACGGAGGGUGCAAGCGUUAAUCGGAAUUACUGGGCGUAAAGCGCACGCAGGCGGUCUGUCAAGUCGGAUGUGAAAUCCCCGGGCUCAACCUGGGAACUGCAUUCGAAACUGGCAGGCUAGAGUCUUGUAGAGGGGGGUAGAAUUCCAGGUGUAGCGGUGAAAUGCGUAGAGAUCUGGAGGAAUACCGGUGGCGAAGGCGGCCCCCUGGACAAAGACUGACGCUCAGGUGCGAAAGCGUGGGGAGCAAACAGGAUUAGAUACCCCAGUAGUCCCAUGA